rnacentral:lncRNA from 15 species
GUUAAAAUGUGACGGCAAUUGAUACCAAACUGGGGUGGUAAGGCAUUUUUAGAUACGACACUUUAUUCCAUCCAUGUGAUAAAGUAUUAUUGUAUUUACAUUAUAACUUGAUGCAGUUAGUACAUAAAGUGCAUAAGAUGACACAAGUGCAUACAAAAGUAAACAAAGACAAUAAGAUCAGAUCUGCAGUUUUUAUUUGGUCUCAGACAACAUUUGUUCAUUGUGAUCGACUGUGUGUUGCUUGUUUGUUCCAGUUUUAUAUGAGAAUUACUCUCAUAUAAACACAACCACUAGAUGGCCGAGGGUCACACACUCCCUCCCUGUGGUUGCAUAUGUUAAAAAAACCAGCAACAACAACAAAAAACAAUGCAGAACGGAACAAUCUUUGUUUUUGUUUUGAGAAUAAAAUGAAAUAAAAUUCUCGUGUUAACUGUUUAGUCUCCAUACAGAUGAUUUUAUGUGUCAUUUCUAACAGAACAUGUAUUCUUUCCUUCCCAGCAGGCAUCAGUGGAGAACCUAUCUAUCUCUACAACAGAUCUGGACAUGAUGUCAUUCUGCCCUGUGCCAGUGCAUCCCCCUCUGACACAACAUGCUCCAUCAUUACAUGGUUUUACGACAGAGAUCGAUCUCAGAUUUUCAUUGAGGUUCAGGGAGGAAAAGUUGAGAAGAGAUCAGCCCGAGCUGCCAGGAUGAGUCUGAACACUUCCUGCUCUUUGGUCAUUAACAACAUCACUGCUGAGGAUGCUGGUCAAUACGCCUGUCAGCAGGGGAUGGAAAAUUAUUAUGAUGCACUGGUAUAUUUAAGUGUUCUGACAAUCUCUCCAUCUCCUCCAGAUGCUGAUCCAAAGAGGGACGAUGAAGUUACAUUAGAGUGCUCUCUGUUGAGAUGGGAUGGACUGGGCCCUUGUAAACAGAACAGAGUCCGCUGGGUGGAUGAGACAGGAACUGUGCUGCUUGAUGAAGGUGUCGGGUACAAGUUCCUCGGACAGAAGGACUGUGUCUCUGUUCUGAAAGUGAAGCGUCAGAGUGGCCACAACAGGACAUACACCUGCCAGUUUGUUGAUAGGAACAAUGUAAAGAUAGAGGCUGACUACACACCUGUCUUCAUAGGAGGGACAGGAGACGAUCAGCCAGCAGAACCUCAUUCAGGUAAGAUAAUAUGCAGCUCGCCAGAUAUAAAGAAUUACUAGAGAUUGAAGGUUUAAGUUAAAAUGAUCAUUUAAUGUUUAGGAUACAUUGCUUUCUCUUUUUACACCUUAAAUGAUUCAAAUAAUUUAACAGUUUUCUGUGCCAACAACAAGCAGAUGUUAUGUAGCUUUAGGUGGCAAAACAUUCACACUUUAAUCAUUUUUUUCC